UACGGAGGGUGCAAGCGUUAUCCGGAUUCACUGGGUUUAAAGGGUGCGUAGGUGGGUUGGUAAGUCAGUGGUGAAAUCUCCAGGCUUAACUUGGAAACUGCCUUUGAUACUAUCAAUCUUGAAUACCGUGGAGGUCAGCGGAAUAUGUCAUGUAGCGGUGAAAUGCUUAGAUAUGACAUAGAACACCAAUUGCGAAGGCAGCUGGCUACACAAAUACUGACGCUGAGGCACGAAAGCGUGGGGAUCAAACAGG
rnacentral:rRNA from 1 species